rnacentral:rRNA from 1 species
GUGAGGAAUUUUCCGCAAUGGGCGAAAGCCUGACGGAGCAAUGCCGCGUGAAGGAUGAAGGCCUAUGGGUUGUAAACUUCUUUUCUCAGAAAAGAAUUAUGACGGUAUCUGAGGAAUAAGCAUCGGCUAACUCUGUGCCAGCAGCCGCGGUAAGACAGAGGAUGCAAGCGUUAUCCGGAAUGAUUGGGCGUAAAGCGUCUGUAGGUUGUUUAAAAAGUAUUCUGUCAAAGAUUAGGGCUUAACCCUAGAUAGGCAGAAUAAACUUUUAAGCUAGAGUUAGGUAGAGGCAGAGGGAAUUCCCGGUGGAGCGGUGAAAUGCGUAGAUAUCGGGAGGAACACCAAAGGCGAAGGCACUCUGCUGGGCCAAUACUAACACUGAGAGACGAAAGCGAGGGGAGCAAAUGGGAUUAGAUACCCGAGUAGUCC